GUGGGGAAUAUUGGGCAAUGGGCGGAAGCCUGACCCAGCGACGCCGCGUGGGGGAAGAAGUCUUUCGGGAUGUAAACCCUUGUUGUACGGGACGAAGGAAGUGACGGUACCGUACGAGGAAGCCCCGGCAAACUACGUGCCAGCAGCCGCGGUAAUACGUAGGGGGCGAGCGUUGUCCGGAAUCACUGGGCGUAAAGCGCACGUAGGCGGGCUGUCAAGUCGGCCGUGAAAGGCACGGGCUCAACCUGUGCAUGUCGGUCGAUACUGGCGGUCUGGAGUAUGGGAGAGGGAACUGGAAUUCCCGGUGUAGCGGUGAAAAGCGUAGAUAUCGGGGGGAACACCAGUGGCGAAGGCGGGUUCCUGGCCCAUGACUGACGCUGAGGUGCGAAAGCCGGGGGAGCGAACGGGAUUAGAAACCCUAGUAGUCC
rnacentral:rRNA from 1 species